CUCCUAAGUUCCAGUUUUUUGGUAUGUUAUCCUACCAAAGAAUCCUUGAAACAGCAAAGUAUCCUUGAAUAAUUGAGUUCACCAGCACUCGGAAAAGAAGAGAAAAGAACCGUUUCGGAGGAACGUUAUCAACGCGAGGCGCGAUAAAAGAAAGGUAUCGGUAGAGUUUCGAUGAUACUUGAAUGGUCUUUCGAUCGGUCGCAGUUGAGCGAAGAGGUCAGUCAGGACCGGAACAAGCUGACGCGCGCAAGAUGAAUUCGCGGCAAGAUCGAACCGACGUAAGAUACGAUCUAUCGUAGCCUGAGGCCGAGUUAGGACUGUGGACUCUGACAGUCCAUGAGCGAGAGAACGUAGUCAGCGGGCAGGCCUACCAACUCUCCGCUUGCUCUCUCGGCGGCCCCACCACGAUUCACGAUGCACACUUGGUAGCGAUAGGUGUGCGCGAUCUGUCUCGGGGAACCGGUGAAAUCGUUUUGAAGAACGCCGAUCUCCCAGAUAAAGGGAAAAUAAAAGAAACAUCGAAUAAUAUCGAAUUACAAAUCCUCAUCUUGGAAUUUCAAAUAACGGGAAAAGAUAAGUAUGAAGAUCCUGCAUAUACAUAGAUGCAAGUAACGAUUCACAAUAAUUCUGAUCAAUCCAUUACCUGGAACACCUUUAAUCAUUCAGUUACUGUUAGCAACCCACGCUAUUUGCAAGAUUGAAAUUGCGUAACCCUAAAUCAUAGUGAUUAUAACAUUCUAACGGUACAAUUACAUUUGACAUUAAUGCUAGAUAUAUAGAUAUAUCUGUACACACCCUCCUAUAUAUGAAUUAUUUAGGCCAUGUAUGUUCAUAGCUACUUUAUUAAAGAAGAACAGCUGAAGAAAACAAUAGCUAUUUGAACCUAAUAAAAUAAAAUUUCUAAAUAAAUUUUCUGCACAAAUACAAAAAUGUACUCAAAAGCGCGUGCAACUAAUGCAUAACGAAAUUCGAUAUCCAUUUACAUGUGUAGUAUCAAUCUUUUUAAUUUUGCUAAAAUUCAUAAUAAAAUCUAAGAAAAUAAAGUUAAUUGCAGCAAUGUAAAAUGAACAAGCAACAUUUUUGUAACUGUGAAAUAACAAGUCUUCAAAUGUGUGAGUGAAUAAAAUAGUAAAAAUUUAUAUCUAAUCUAUUAUACGCAAUCCAUUACCUGUAAUUUCUUAUAUCAGCGAGUGAAACUUAUAAUAUCGUAAUUUACGCAGAAUUUAGAUAUAGAAAUAAAUUCAUUGUGUUAAAAAAAAUUUCAUGAAAGUAACAAAUAUAAUGACCUAUUAAUAUUAAUUAUUUAUCAUUUUAUCUAUUUUUGCUAAAGAAAUCAGUAAUAUACUCUUAACUACGUAGAGUACAAAAUAUUUUAUUCUAAUUCAGUCAUUACAUUGUUUAUUCUAAUUAUUAGUUACAGAUGCAAAAUAUAACAUUCCAAACAAUCACCGAAAUCGUAGCAGAACUUUAAGAUACG
rnacentral:misc_RNA from 1 species